UACGUAGGGGGCAAGCGUUAAUCGGAAUUACUGGGCGUAAAGCGUGCGUAGGCGGUUCCUCAAGUCCGUUGUGAAAGCCCCGGGCUCAACCUGGGAAUGGCAGUGGAAACUAGGGGACUGGAAUCUGGCAGAGGGGGGUGGAAUGCCGCGUGUAGCAGUGAAAUGCGUAGAGAUGCGGCGGAACACCGAUGGCGAAGGCAGCCCCCUGGGCUGAGAUUGACGCUCAGGCACGAAAGCGUGGGGAGCAAACAGG
rnacentral:rRNA from 1 species